rnacentral:rRNA from 3 species
UUUACAUGGAUAACUGUGGUAAUUCUAGAGCUAAUACAUGCAGCAAGCCUUGACCUUACGGGCAAGGCGCAGUUAUUAGAUCAAAAACCAAUCGGUUGUAUCUUCGGAUAUAGCCGUUAGCUUGGUGACUCUGAGUAACCACAGCGAACCGUAUGGCCUUGUGCUCGACGGUCUGUCAGUCAAGCAACUGCCUUAUCAGCUUGUUGUUAGGUUAUAUGCCUAACAAGGCUUCAACGGGUAACGAACGAUCGGGGUCGGAUAUCGGAGAGGGAGCUUGAGAAACGGCUACCACUUCCAAGGAAGGCAGCAGGCGCGCAAAUUACCCACUCUCGGCAUGAGGAGGUAGCGAUAAAAUGUAUCGAUGCGGGGCCAUUAGUGCCUUCGUAAUCGGAAUGAGUACACUUUAAAUCCUAUAACAAGGACCUAUUGGAGGGCAAGUCUGGUGCCAGCAGCCGCGGUAAUUCCAGCUCCAAUAGCGUAUAUUAAUGCUGCUGCGGUUAAAAAGCUCGUAGUCGGAUCUGGGUUACCGGCGGGUACCGCAUGUUGCUUCAUGCAGCAUGUUGUGUACUAUACGUGUCGCUUCGGCGGCACUGCCAGUGUAACGUUGCCUCACGUAGGUGCGUUACGCUGGUCGCCGGAACCACGGGCCGGGUUGAGCAGCAUGCUCUUAACUGAGUGUGUUGUUUACUCGGUGCGUUUACUUUGAAAAAAUUGGAGUGCUCAAAGCAAGCGUACAGUCGCUAUGCGGCUUGAACAGUGGUGCAUGGAAUAAUGGAAUAGGGCCUCGGUUCUAUUUUGUUGGUUUUAAGAUAUCGAGGUAAUGAUUAAGAGGGACAGACGGGGACGUUUGUAUUGCGACGUUAGAGGUGAAAUUCUUGGAUCGUCGCAAGACACACUAAUGCGAAAGCAUUCGUCUAGAAUGUUUUCAUUGAUCAAGAACGAAAGUUAGAGGUUCGAAGGCGAUCAGAUACCGCCCUAGUUCUAACCAUAAACGAUGCCAACCAGCGAUCCGUCGGUGUUCUCAAUUAUGAAUGACCCGACGGGCAGCUUCCGGGAAACCAAAGUUUUCGGGUUCCGGGGGAAGUAUGGUUGCAAAGCUGAAACUUAAAGGAAU